GGGGGAUUAAGAUGCUUCGAGUGUGUCUCUGGAGACUACCUCUCCUGCUUUAAACCCGUUGAAUGUCCCUCAUCCAUGGAUCGCUGUUUCACCACUGGCCUUGGGGAUACCUUGAUCAAGGGAUGUCAAUUCAGUCCUCUGUGUCUCCUGCCAGGGAGCGGUUGCUGCAAAGGCGAUUUGUGUAACUUUGCAAAUUCCAGCAAUAGCAUUGGAUCAAGCUUCAUCCUUCUGCUGUUGUCUACCGCUGCACUGUAUUUCCUCUGAUCAGUGGGUCUGCAUGCACUCUAGAAACCUGGGGCCAGAUUCACUAAUGAAUCUCCAGAUAAUGACAUUCUGUUCAUUAUCUGGAGACUAUGUUUGCAUCUAGAUUACAUUUAGGGCCUUAAGCAGAUGCUUUUAUCCAGAACCACUUACAUUUAUUACAUUUGUCGGA